GGGCACUUUAAAGAGACUGCCGGUGUUAAGCCGGAGGAAGGUGGGGAUGACGUCAAGUCCUCAUGGCCUUUAUGCCCAGGGCUACACACGUGCUACAAUGGGCGGUACAAAGAGAAGCAACCUCGCGAGGGUGAGCAAAUCUCAAAAAGCCGUUCUCAGUUCGGAUUGAAGUCUGCAACUCGACUUCAUGAAGUCGGAAUCGCUAGUAAUCGCGGAUCAGCAUGCCGCGGUGAAUACGUUCCCGGGCCUU
rnacentral:rRNA from 1 species